CACUCGGUAGCACAUGGUGUGCACCUGUUCCAUGUACACACUUUUCACCAGGAGUUCAUGCGGGAGGUUCUCGGUUCGAUUCCGAGUCGGGUGA